rnacentral:pre_miRNA from 1 species
UAGAUACUCCCUCCGUUCGGAAUUACUUGUCUCGAAAAUGGAUGUAUCUAGAACUAAAAUACAUCUAGAUACAUCCAUUUCUGCGACAAGUAAUUCCGAACGGAGGGAGUACGUG